UUUCUGUCGACAUAGUCUUCCUGGAAAUCAUAGUUCAGCACAGACGAGUUGGUCAGAUGACUUUGGGUUUUCCUGUUUCUGCCUCAAAUUAGCUAUGUACAAAAUGUCCUCAAACGCUUAAUCUAUAAUGACAUCAUCUGGAUUCUCCAACAUAGGCGACAGAUGUAUUUCUGCAACAGAGCAGCGACUCGGCGGCGACUCGGAGGACCAUUGCAUAAUAUGCAUGGAUAGUUUUCAGGAAAAGACAACUUUAAAAUGUUCUCACUCAUUCUGUUCAAGUUGUAUUGACUCGUUUUUCAAAAUUAAACCCGCAUGUCCGGUAUGUAAUAGUUUUUACGGGACCUACGAAGGAACGCAGCCCCGGAACGGGAUCAUGACAGUGAGACGCAACUGGCAGUGUUUACCUGGCUAUGAGGAGGGGAAUGGACAUAUCACGAUUGAUUAUCACUUUCCAGCCGGAGUACAAGGGCCUGAGCAUCCGAACCCGGGUGAGAAGUACUGCAGCACAUCCAGGACAGCCUUUCUGCCAGCCUGUGAGGAAGGAGAGAAGGUACUGAGGCUACUCCAGACAGCCUUUCACAGGAGGCUCAUCUUCACGAUCGGGACAUCAGCCACUACCGGCCUCAACAACUCCAUCACAUGGAACGACAUACACCACAAGACCAACAUUAGUGGAGGACCACAGUUUUUCGGGUAUCCAGACCCAGGCUACCUCUCUCGGGUCCAGGAGGAGCUUCGUCUGAAGGGAGUGACAGAGGAGAGCUGACUCCACUGGAGCUUCAUGAAACCAUAGAACUAGAACUACUCUUAGUUCAAAUUCUAUACAUAUUGUCACGCUCAGGAAUCAAACACAAGACGAGAAGAGCAGUAACGGUGUUGGGGAAGCUACACUGAAAAUAUAGCUUACCGAGCUACCAAUUCACACUAGAAGCUUAGCUGCCCUUAAGAAAAAUGUAGUUUCCUUAAAGUUACUUUGACAAAGUAGUAGACUACAUCAAAACUACUUUGUGAAAAAUUAUCAAAUUUAAAUCUGAAAUGUCAUAGACUACAAGUUGCAAGAACAGAUCACUUUACUGGUCAAAUGUUAACAGAAUGUGUAAUUUGGCCUAUUAAACACAACAACUUCAAAUUAAGAAAGGAAGGUAUUGCUUUACUUCGCCCAUAUUUUCUUUUCUUUUCGCAAAACAAAACAGUGUGGAUUUCCAGUAGUUAGCUACACCACCACAUGGCAUGAAAAGUAAUUAACUACUGAAAACACUACCUAGAUUUGAAUUCAGUUCAUCUACCACCAAACUACUGUAAAAUGUAGUUAAAUUACUAGUUGAACGACAUGUUGUUCACGACUCCCCAACACUGAGCAGUUAUGAUUGUAGCCAACCGUUCCCAAAAAGGUUGGUUACAGACGUACAAAAAUAUCAUAUCUCCAAGACAUGUUAUCCUCUCACUGUUACAAUAACAGGGGUGAUAUUUGUGCAACUAGAAGUGUUAAGAAAAAUAUUGAUUUUUAUUUACAAUAAAAGUGACUUCAACAUGA